GAUGAACGCUGACAGCAUGCUUAACACAUCAGCAAUUGAUUGGUGGCGGACGGGUGAGUAACGCGUAAAGAACUUGCCUCACAGCUAGGGACAACAUUUAGAAAUGAAUGCUAAUACCUGAUACUGUGGGAGGGCUUUGCGUCCCAUUAGCUAGUUGGAGAGGUAACAGCUCACCAAGGCGAUGAUGGGUAGCCGGCCUGAGAGGGUGAACGGCCACAAGGGGACUGGGGAACCGCCCUUACUCAUACGGGCGGCAGCAGUGGGGGGUAGUGGACAAUGUACCGCAGUCUGAUCCAGCAAUUCUGUGUGCACGAUGAAGUUUUCGGAAUGUAAAGUGCUUUCAGUUGGGAAGCGGUACCAACAGAAGAAGUGACGGCUAAAUACGUGCCAGCAGCCGCGGUAAUAC
rnacentral:rRNA from 1 species